rnacentral:rRNA from 1 species
AUUGAACGCUGGCGGCAUGCUUUACACAUGCAAGUCGAACGGUAACAGGCCUUCGGGUGCUGACGAGUGGCGAACGGGUGAGUAAUGCAUCGGAACGUGCCCAGAGGUGGGGGAUAACGCAGCUAAAGCUGUGCUAAUACCGCAUGUGAUCUGAGGAUGAAAGCGGGGGACCAGGCAGCAAUGUUUGGCCUCGCGCCUUUGGAGCGGCCGAUGUCAGAUUAGGUAGUUGGUGGGGUAAAGGCCUACCAAGCCGACGAUCUGUAGCUGGUCUGAGAGGACGACCAGCCACACUGGGACUGAGACACGGCCCAGACUCCUACGGGAGGCAGCAGUGGGGAAUUUUGGACAAAGGGCGCAAGCCUGAUCCAGCAAUGGCGCGUGCGGGAAGAAGGCCUUCGGGUUGUAAAACGCUUUUGUACGGAACGAAAAGGCUCUGGCUAAUACCUGGGGCUGAUGACGGUACCGGAAGAAUAAGCACCGGCUAACUACGUG